GUCAGAGGAGCCCAACAGUGACUGGCCAGUGCAGACCAAACACCAACCAAAAUUAAGGUCAGAUAAUGCUAAUGGGAAUAAUUACCAGGGAUUGAUCCUGCUACAUCUAAGAAGAGUCUGUGGCCUGGGUUCAAACUUGCUUAUCCAAGUGGUUCCCAACAUGUAGGUCAGGGUCCUUAAGACUCUUCCCCAUGACUGAUAGGAAAUCAAGAGGUAAACACACAAAUCUUGUCUUCAUUGAAGUCCUGUACGAUUUUUCAAACAUCAUACCCUAAAGACAAUUAAAAUGCUGUUAGAUCACCAGUCUUAUACUUCAACAAAUGCAAUUUAACCCUAAGUCUCUUUUAAGAUGAGAUCAUAGACUGUAUAUGCUAUGGACAACUUGGUUCCACCUUCCGCCAGUAUACAGAUUUGAAGCCGGAAAGCUCUCGGUAAUUCCGCGCUUUUUCUCCACUUCCUGAAACGGACAUUGCGCAGUGGCGUUGAACGCAUAGACAUAGAAAAGAAAGGCUAGAUGAAUCGAAGCGGAGACACCGGCGUCCGUACACGGCGGCCAUCUUACUUCAGUAGCUAUACUAUUCUGGUACAUUGUAUGGUAGCUGACGAAAAGUGAGUAAUUUGCAUGAUCAAAAAUACUCUUAACUCGCUGGAAUCUUGACAGAUUUACAAACGGUUUUGUUUAUUACAUAUCUUCACAACGUGGCUAACAGGUAACAAGUGAAACAGUGUCACUUAGUGUUUUUACGUCAUGUAAAAGAAAAAGAGUUAAUGUGUUGAAUUGACUGCAACUGGAAUUAAAAAUACAUGUUUCAUGUUCAUCCAUUAAAAAUUCAGCUAUGUUGAAUUUCCUAUAGACAGACUAUCAUAUCUAAAUAAUGCAGCUGAGAAUCAAUUUUCUCUUGAAUGCGUAGAUCUUAAUUAGACCCAAACUGACCUGCGUGUUACAUGUGCUCCGCAGUUAGCACCAAAUGUGUUUUUACCAUUGGACAUACAGCCUCUUACUUACAUGUUUGUUAAUUGUUUUGGUAUAUGAUGUAAUAGGCCAACCUGAAGACACUGUUGUUGAGAAAUCAGUUCUUCUUGCUGCUUGUGCUCUGGGAUAAAGACAGUUUAAUCACCUACUUUGAGCUAUAACUGUCACUCAACUUGACUGAAACAGUUUGCCGUACACUUUGACACUAGUCUAAAGCUGGGUGAAGUUAAGGCAGAGCCUGAUUACAUUACUGCAGCAAACUCAGAGUGAAAGGAGCUAAUGCCCAAGUCACUCACCUUCUCACCUUUAUUUUAGUGGUUUGAAAACUGCAUAUAAAAUGAAUGUAAUGGACUGAAUAUUGUAAAGAGAUUUUAUUCUACACUACAAACUUGAACUUCACAUGAAUAAAGAGUCGGUGGGGUUUAAAAUCUGCUACUGCGGACCAUGACUAUCUGCUCAAGCUUCUUCUGCAUCGCUCCAGUUUAAUAUCUGAAUACAUUUCUCUUAUUUUCAGCAAUUAUGAGUCAGGACUGCGAGUACUGUAUAAAUAUAGAUCUUUAUUUAUUUAUGAACUUCAUAUGCUCAGUUUACAGUGUUGGGGGAACAUUACUUUCAUUCAAACUAACCUGUUACACUACAUGAUAAAAACAGAGAAAAAUAAGUGGAUGGUUUGAGCUGCUGCAGGUUGUAUUAGUUGUGGUUAUGUUUAAUGACACACUAUAAAAUCUAAAUACAGUACAUUACCCUAUUUUACUAAUGUGAAGCAGUUACCAUGAGAACUACAAACAUACUUGUUACAUGAAAAAUGACUGAAAUAAAAUAACAAUUACUACAAAUUUUAAUGUCCUAUCAUGUGCUAUAAUUAAAAGUUAAAUAAAACCACGAAAUACAUAAAAAAUAUUUGUAACAUGUGACCCUCAACACUGUUUAAAAUAAUAUACCUUUAAAAUACAAAAUUAUACUUGAUAUAAAGUAUCAGUGCAUAAUCACUUCCUUCCAACGUUGACGAGAAACCGGUCAAAAAUAAAACAUCCUUUGGAAAUUCACAGGGCUUCAAUAUAUCCAUUUAACACUAUAGUCUCUCACUAACAAAUACUGUUUUCCUUGCUCUCCUCAGUGGUUUCUACAAAGUCUGUAGUUAAGGUUUGGUCCAUACACCAGAAAACAAAUCAAAUACUGACAGAAAAUGGACAUUUCUCAUGUUAACAUAUAAACAGUGAACCAGCGCAAAGUGGUGCUACCUUCAAAGAUAUGGAGAGUUUUUUUAUUUUUAAAGCCUGCUCUGCAAGCUUCACCAACACUUGUUUCUGUUUCUGCAGGAGCACAAACCACCUGACUUUACUAUGAGUGAAUACAGCAGCACAAACACGUGGAGCGAAAGGAUGGUGACAUUCGAGGUUGACUGAACUAGAAGACCUUUUGGUUAAUCUGAAAAUGUAAAUCGAAACACACUGAAGAAGAUUAAUGCAAUGACUGGCAGUGUUUAAAGUCUAAAUAAAUAUGUUUUUUUUUCACUAGUGCUUUGUGUAUCUCAUGUUUCUAACAAUUUAUAACUUGAUAAACAAAUCCAUCUCUCCUCUCACUUCAGACAAAAAUCAAAUAGUAGAAUAAUGGAUCUUCUUCAUCAGUAGGAGGACCCCACACAGAGCGAUUCAUUUACACAUUUUCAUGAUUGAUCUGUGAUGUUAAAUCUGACCUUGUCUGGUCUUCAUUGCAGCCCCACCUCAUGUCCUCCAUAAACCUUCAUUAACCUGCGAUUUUAUAUAACCUGAAGAGCUUUAAAGCACAUCCCCCUACCUCUGUCACUCGGGAUCAACCCGAGUAAUUCAAGCUGAUAGUUUUAUUACAGGAGCACCUCAAAUGGGGAACU